AACGAACGCUGGCGGCAGGCCUAACACAUGCAAGUCGAGCGGACGUCUUUCGAGACGUUAGCGGCGCACGGGUGAGUAACGCGUAAGAAUCUACCUCGUUCAACAACAUACCGCAAGGAGACUUGUGUUAAUAUUGUAUGAAUCCUGCAACAGGUAAAGAGCUUUCGGAGCGAGAUGAGCUUGCGCUAGAUUAGCUCGUUGGCGGGGCAAAUGCCCACCAAGGCACCGAUCUAUAGCUGGUCUGGGAGGACGGACAGCCACACUGGGACUGGAACAAGGCCCAGGCCCCCGCGGGGGCCAGCAGUGAGGAAUCUUGGACAAUGGGCGAAAGCCUGAUCCAGCCAUGCCGCGUGAGCGAUUAGAAGAACUAAUCUCCUUAAGGUUCGCAAAUGAACUGUAAACCUCUUUUGCCAAACGAAAAUGAUGAUGUUAGUUUGCAGCGAAUAAGCUCCGGCCAACUUCGUGCCAGCAGCCGCGGUAACACGAGGGGAGCAAGCGUUGUUCGGUUUGAUUGGGCGUAAAGCGCGCGUAGGCGGCCGCGCAAGUCGCAGAACAGAGGCCAAACAAUGGAGCUCAACUCCAUUCCGCCUCCGAUACUGCGCGGCUAGAGGUCGGUGGAGGCGCACGGAACCCCAAGUGUAGAGGUGAAAUUCGUUGAUAUUUGGGGGAACACCAGAGGCGGAAGCGGUCCGCCAUGCCGAUUCUGACGCUAAUGCGCUAAAGCGUGGGUAGCAAACAGGAUUAGAUACCCUGGUAGUCCACGCCCUGAACGAUGAGUGCUAACAGCUGAAAACCUAACACAAGUUUAUGUUUUUGAUUGUAAAGCUAACGCGUUAAGCACUCCGCCUGGGGAGUACGGCCGCAAGGUUGAAACUCAAAGGAAUUGACGAGGACCCGCACAAGCGGUGGAGCAUGUGGUUUAAUUCGAAGCUGCACGCAAAACCUUACCAGCUCUUGACCCUGUUUGCCGAGUUGUUUGUGAAAACAUACUUCUCGAUGGCAAGCAACAGGUGCUGCAUGGCUGCCGUCAGCUCGUGUCGUGAGACGUACGGUUAAGUCCUACAACGAGCGCAACCCUCGUUCUUAGUUGCUUCCAAGCGAAAGCUAGCUCUCUAAGCAAACUGCCGGCGAUAAGCUGGAGGAAGGCGAGGACGACGACAAGUCAUCAUGGCCCUUAUAGGCUGGGCCACACACGUGCUACAAUGGUGUUGAAACAGAAAGUCGCAAUGCCGCAAGGCGGAGCAAAUCUCCAAACCCCACCUCAGUACGGAUUGCACCCUGCAACUCGGGUGCAUGAAGCAGGAAUCGCUAGUAAUCGCGGAUCAGCAUGCCGCGGUGAAUACGUUCCCGGGUCCUGUACACACCGCCCGUCACACCAUGGGAGUGGCUCCCUCCGGAAGCUGCGCAUUAGCGCCGCCAUGCCAGGAGCCACGACCGAGGUG
rnacentral:rRNA from 1 species